UGGGGAAUAUUGGGCAAUGGGGGAAACCCUGACCCAGCGACGCCGCGUGAGGGAAGAAGGCCUUAGGGUCGUAAACCUCUGUUGUGUGGGAAGAAGAGCGUGACGGUACCACACGAGGAAGUCCCGGCUAACUACGUGCCAGCAGCCGCGGUAAUACGUAGGGGACGAGCGUUGUCCGGAUUUACUGGGCGUAAAGGGCGCGUAGGCGGUCAUUUAAGUCAGCUGUGAAAUGGUUUGGCUUAACCGGAUCAUGCGGUUGAAACUGGAUGACUGGAGUGCUGGAGAGGCAAGUGGAAUUCCCAGUGUAGCGGUGAAAUGCGUAGAUAUUGGGAAGAACACCGGUGGCGAAGGCGACUUGCUGGCCAGCAACUGACGCUGAGGCGCGAAAGCCAGGGGAGCA
rnacentral:rRNA from 1 species